rnacentral:rRNA from 1 species
UACGUAGGGGGCGAGCGUUGUUCGGAUUCAUUGGGCGUAAAGGGCGCGUAGGCGGCGGGGUAAGUCUGGUGUGAAAUCUCGGAGCUCAACUCCGAAAUUGCACUGGAUACUGCUCUGCUAGAGGGCUGGAGAGGAGAUCGGAAUUCACGGUGUAGCAGUGAAAUGCGUAGAUAUCGUGAGGAAGACCAGUGGCGAAGGCGGAUCUCUGGACAGCUCCUGACGCUGAGGCGCGAAGGCUAGGGGAGCAAACGGG